AUACGGAGGGUGCAAGCGUUACUCGGAAUCACUGGGCGUAGAGGAUGCGUAGGCGGAUAAUCAAGUCAAAAGUGAAAUCCCACGGCUUAACCGUGGAACUGCUUUCGAAACUGGUUAUCUUGAAUAUGGAAGAGGCAGAUGGAAUUAGUGGUGUAGGGGUAAAAUCCGUAGAGAUCACUAGGAAUACCGAUUGCGAAGGCGAUCUGCUGGGACAUUAUUGACGCUGAGGCAUGAAAGCGUGGGGAGCAAACAGGAUUAGAAACCCGGGUAGUCC
rnacentral:rRNA from 1 species